rnacentral:sRNA from 2 species
UCGGACGCGCCGUCGAGUCGUCGCAGCCAUGGGGAAGAUGUCUGGGACGAACCGGGGAACCACGCACGUGGGGUGAAUCGCCGUGCACGCACCUGAGCGGUGCGCACACGGCGUAGGGCAAUCCGAGGCCCGAACCCGUCAGCUCACCCGGUAGACGUCGAGGAUGCGGGAG